AUUGAACGCUGGCGGCAUGCCUUACACAUGCAAGUCGAACGGUAACGCGGGGCAACCUGGCGACGAGUGGCGAACGGGUGAGUAAUGUAUCGGAACGUGCCCAGUUGUGGGGGAUAACUGCUCGAAAGAGCAGCUAAUACCGCAUACGACCUGAGGGUGAAAGCGGGGGAUCGCAAGACCUCGCGCAAUUGGAGCGGCCGAUAUCAGAUUAGGUAGGUGGUGGGGUAAAGGCUCACCAAGCCGACGAUCUGUAGCUGGGCUGAGAGGACGACCGGCCACACUGGGACUGAGACACGGCCCAGACUCCGACGGGAGGCAGCAGUGGGGAAUUUUGGACAAUGGACGCAAGUCUGAUCCAGCCAUGCCGCGUGCGGGAAGAAGGCCUUCGGGUUGUAAACCGCUUUUGUCAGGGAAGAAACGCUCUGGGUUAAUACCUCGGGGUAAUGACGGUACCUGAAGAAUAAGCACCGGCUAACUACGUGCCAGCAGCCGCCGUAA
rnacentral:rRNA from 1 species